GCCUGGGUGGCUCAGCUGGUUGAGCGUCUGACUUCGGCUCAGGUCAUGAUCUCGUGGUUCGUGGGUUCAAACCCCGCAUCGGGCU
rnacentral:tRNA from 1 species